rnacentral:lncRNA from 1 species
GAAUAUUCGCCACUGGACAAGACAGACUACUACUACGCUGUCUAAAUCGUAAGAGAAUUGCAUUUUCUUAAAACUCCUAUUUUUCGAUUUCCUGAGAAAAUGUUUUGGGGUUAACUUCCACUCUUUUUUUAACGCUGUUACAGAGUUCAUUAUAUAAUUGAAGUUGGUAAGAAAUUUUAUCGGGGAGCCUUUGAUUCUGGAUAACAUACAACUGCGGUUUUAUCUUUCCGACUCGCCCUUACUAAAAUGAGGUCAAUACAAUUUAUUUUAUUUUUGUAUAAUGAAUAAGUCUUUUAUUUUAUUUUACUAUAAAGUUCUAAACCCUUUUUAAUGUUUGGUUGAAUAGUUUCCGGUUAACUUGUCCUCCGGUUUACUAUCCAUAUCAGCAACCAAGUCUCUCCACAUGCACCUUGCUCACAAUCCC